AAAAAUUUAAAUCGUGCAUCCUGCUGAGAGCCAGAGAAUACAGUAUCGCCUGUGCCGUGCUCAGCAUCGCGCCAAGGGAAGCGGGUACUGGGAUGGUAUUUUGGGAGGUGCCCAGGAUGGAGCCAGACACAGCUGUCACCCCAGCGAUGCCGUCCCCAGGGAAUGGAGGCACAAGACGGGGCGGGGGGUGUCAGACUGAGCCUGGUGUGGGGGUGGUGACCGUGGGGCAGUCCCAGGAUUUGCCUGACUCCAGUGUCUUUUUCUUCUUUCCCUUUUAUCUCUCAUUUAAUUUGUCUGCCUUGGUAGCCCAUAUGUUUGCCUGAAGAUGGCAAGGUUUAUUUUUUUUUUUCCUCUGAACUAUAAAUAGGCGUUUCAGAACAACUUCUUGCUGCCAGUUAUCCGUCUACACAUCAACAUUAACAUAAUUACCACGGUGAAUCUCUAAUCUCGGCAGUAACACAUUCAAGUUUAACAGUGGAUUGAGCUUCGUAAACGUGUGUAAUUUGGGUCUUUAGUGAACUGACAAAUCUGCAGGCUGGUGGUGGUGGAGAGCUGUGAACUUCCCCUGGUUCCCAGCCCUGAUCCUCGAGCAGUGACAAGUGAGAUGGGAACAAUGAAUAAUCGCUGUCACGUAUCCCAGAGGAAGCCCAGCUCACUGCUCUCCGGAGUUUGUUUGCUGCCCUCAGAGCUGUGCUGACAAGCAUCAUCAGCUUUGAAAGUCAAUUGCUCACUGGAGUUGAAAAUGUGUUUUCAGGUAUUGGGCUGAUAGGUUCUGGGUGAGGAGGAUGAGGCUUGAAUGCCAAGUGAGGCAGCGCUGGAUCUGGCCCCUUGGGCAGCAGAAGGGGAGGUGGCUCCAGUCUGAUGUGCAGCGAUAAAUGCAGCAGCUCCAAGUGCCCACAAGGUCUGAGUGCCAAGUCCUUGUUUGCUGAGUUGAUAAAGAAGGUAUAAUUUCUAUGUAAAAGCACUAUAAACUGUUUUGCUCCUAGAGAAAUUAUUUUGGCCAAAAAAAUGAACGAGGAUUUAAAGUUUCCAUUGGUUGGGGUAAAUGGUUGCGACUCUGCAUUUUCCAUGGUCCUGGUUCCCCUGGAAGCCACAGCCCUGCCCACGUCCUGCCAUGCUGGGCUCCGAUACUGGUAGCUGAACACCAGUAAGGUCUGAGCAUCUCUGGUGGUGGGACACAGGCCUGGGCUGCAGAAGCAACAGUGGGGAUGGAAGUCGUGCCAGCAAAACGAUCCUGCUCUCCUGGGGAUGGGUGAUGGGUCUCCUUGACCUGCUUCAUUGUCACUCAUAGCUCUGCUUUAGUGUCAACAGUGGGAGCCCCAUGUCCAGAGCUGGUCUGGUGCUUGGAGGAGAUGCCUGCAUGGGAUCUGUCACCUCUCCAGGGGAUGCAGCCUUGGGCUAUAACCAGGGUGAUGGUUUUAAACUGGAAGAGGGGAGAUGCAGGCCAGACAUGAAGAAGAAAGUUUUUCCAUGGAAGGUGGUGAGACCCUGUCCCAGGUCACCCAGAGAGGUGUUGGAUGCCCCAUCCCUGGAGACAUCCCAGGCCAGGCUGGAUGGGGCUCUGAGCAACCUGAGCUGGUGAAGAUGUCCCUGCUCAUGGCAGGGGUGGCACUGGGGGAGCUGGGAACGUCCCUUCAACUCAAACCAUCCUGUGAUUCUGUGAUUCACCAUCUUCCUGCAGCUCCACCGUGGCUGGGGAGAGGAUCCUGGCGGUCAGGUGCUCACCAAGCUGGAAAGCAAGGUUCAGCUCUGCCCACGGCCGGUGUAGCAAGGAGCAUGUGUUGGGGGGGUGACUGUUCCAGCCAACCAGCCGUGCAUGUUUGAUGUGGUUUAAAUUAAUCUCGAUUGCUGUCUAAUGUUUUAAAAAGACACUUUUUAUAACAUGCGAGAAUAAUGUAGGAGAACUAAUGUUCCCUUAUGAAAUGCCUUUCAGAAUCAUGAUAAAAGUGCCCUUUAAUCUGCUGUGAGAAGUCUCUGUGAGGGAGAGGCAUCAUACGAACAGGUGGAAUUGUGGAAUAAAUACGAUAAUUAAUGAGAAGAAAGAAUUUGCAUUUUCUGACUUUUCCACAACACCUGUUUUUUGUUUGUUUGUUUGUUUUUUUCCCCCAAAAAGGCUUUAUUUUGUUUCCUGAGGGGGUCAGGAGGACGUGGGGAUUCAGGCUUCUGGUUGUUAGGUUCUAGUUUCAAAGACUAUAAAAUGUCAGUGAAGCAGCGCAUGGGAACUAAGUACUCCAUUAUGUUUUCCCUAUGAAAUUAAGCACCUUUAUUGCCUUAAAUGAGAGCUCCCGCUUAAUGAUGGACCGAUGCAAAUUCCCAACUGCACACCUGGGCGAAACCAUGGUGCCCAGCCAUGGUGCUGCUUGGAGGAAAGCUUGGGGACAGAAGCAAAAGAGUCUCCCUGUGGUGGAGGUCACUGCUGCGCCAUGGCCAUGGUCUCAGCUCUGCCUUCACCACUUGGAAGGCAGGGAUAGAGAAUCACAGAGUCAUUUUGGUUGGAAAAGAUCCUCAAGAUCAUAGAGUCCAACUGUUCCCCCACCCUGGCAGUACCCCAUGUCCCUGAGAACCUCAUCUCUGUGUCUGUUCAACCCCUCCAGCGAUGGUGACUCCACCACUGCCCUGGGCAGCCUGUUCCAAUGCCCAACAGCCCUUUGGGGAAGAAAUCGUUUCCAAGAUCCAACCUCAACCUCCUCUAUAGCAACCUGAGGCCAUGGAUGCAGGCAGGGAAAGGUUCUGGCCAUUCCACCAGCAGCAGAACCACCAUUUGCAGCCCAAGCAGCUCCACACUCAGUUGGAGAAGCAGCAAAUUCCUCCGCUGGCAAGUGCUGCAUCGGGGCUGAGGUUUGUAGCUGCCCUACGGCGACAUGUGAACACCGCAGGAACGUGCAGAGGCUGAAACUGACUCCGCUCGGUACGCAGAGUUUUCUCUGCGUGAGUAUCUACGGUGCCACAGAGCACAGCCAGGCUCAGGCUGACUGUCCCCUCUCCUGCCAUGUGCAGCAAGUCGCUCCUGUCCCACGGAGAGCUGGGGAGCACGGCUGUGCCAGCAAAACUCCGCCACCAAAGUUUUCAAGGAAAUGCUUUCAUCUAGUAAAUAACAUAUUAUUAAUUUGCAUGAGGGUUAAACUACUGUGCUGAGAUGCCUCUGCUUCAAAGCCAUUUAAAGAGCAGACAUUGAAGUGGUAACUCAGGCAUCCUCUGAACAGCUCUUAACCAGUCUUCCCUGUUUUGUAAAUGGCAUUAGUAUCUGAGCUGCUUAUUUAAAGCUUUAAAAAGUAACCAACUUCCUUGAAGUCAUUAAAGUCUAACCUUUAAACUCCAGGAGUCUAAUGGUUCAAGCCAAGCAUAAUGUUGAGGCACAUCUGUGAUAAAUCUGCUUUUAAUCUCCACAAAGUGCUUUUCAUAGAUUCCAACUUUAACGUAUUAGGUGUUAGAUGAACACACUGAGUGCUAGUAAAAUACACUAGAUUGUAAUCUAUUACCUUUUACACAAAGCAGCAUUUAGUUUUAUUAACUAUUGAAAUAUACUGAAAACUGUUAAAAAAGCACCGUGUAAAUCUUUAAGAUUCAUGCUGUUUGGUUUUAUAGAGGCCUAAUUCCUAGCAAGAGUAGCAGGAGAGUAGUUUGGCCAAUGACUUAAUAGUUUGUAGCUGAUUAACAGAAACCUCCCACCGAAUUUCAGCCAAAGGUUGGUUAAUGAGGGGCCUGAUGCUGUGUGGGGUGGAGGGGAUUCUGUGGGAGCUGGUACCAGCCCCCACCCCCCACUGCACCCCAAAGCGGCUCCUUGCAUGGGUGCAGUGGCUAAGGUGCAACUUUACAAUUGGGAUGUUGAAACCUGGGGUGUCUCUGGCCCCGGGUGCCUUCAGGGGGGUGCUGGGAAAGGAACCCAGUGUGCGGUGGAGGACGGGCACCAGCGGUGACAAGUGAGCCCGGCUCUUUUCCAAGGGUCGGUCUUGGGAUGCAUGUGAUGAGCACCCCUGGCGAUGCUCCCGGCUCAGUCCCGUGGCACCGGGGACAUCUGCCGUGUCUGCAGCACCGUGUGUCCCUGCUCUCCGGUGCCCUGGGUACACCUGGAACCCUCCGGGUCACUGUCCAUGUGCCCCCACCCUGGCCAGCAGCCAGGUGCCAGGUUGUUGGCACAUGUGUAGAUCCACACUGACUCAGCCGAGCUUGGUGUUAUUUUUGGACUUUACUCAGGUGCAAAAGUGCAGGGGAUAACAGCUCGAUGGGGCUGGGACCUGCUGCUUGGGGUGCAGCAGGGCUGAGGCUGGCAGUCUGUCCCCCACACAGGACCUGUCUGUCCCUGCCCACGCACGUGUGCUGCGGGGGUUUCCAACCGCGCACAGGGAGGGUGCGGGAUGUGUCAGAGCGAGAAAGAGAAAGUGGAGGCCUGGGGUUCCCCUCCUGCUGCUGCCAUGGGGCUGCAAGGAAGAUAAACCUCCUGUGUGAGCCGUGGGACGUGCCUGGGGCUGCCCCAGCCCAACUCAGGGGUGCAGGGGCUGCAGGACCCCAGCCCAGCUGUGCCCAGGCAAACUCCCUGAGGUUCCAGCCUGGCUUGGGUACUCUGGCUACACUGGGGACAUAUCCUGCUCUGACCUGGGGCUAGGCAGCAGGAGGCUGAAGGAGUAUUGCUUAUGUGCGUGAACCUUGCCAGACCCCCAGGGAAAACCAGGCUGGGCUGGGGGCUCCCCUGGGUGCUAGCACCCCCUUGUGCAGCCAGUGCAUGCCAGGAGGGCUCAGCAAGGGGCAGCGCUGCAGUUUGCUUCUCUUAUAGAUAGUGAUGCAGCCCAGGAGAGCAGACUCCCUGCCCAGCUGCCGUGGCGGAGAGCAUGGGGAGCACGCACAGCCCCCCCGGGCACCGCAGAAAGCGGCACCCAGCUGCUUCGGGAACUGGGGGUGUUGGUCUGGGCCCCCUGGGGAGGGCAAGGGUGUGUGAGCCUCAGCUGACAGCACCAAGAGCCAGUGGGGAGGUCAGUGCACCCAGCCAUGGUUUUAAUUUGCUUGCUUGCAUGUGAGCGUCAGAACUGAGCUUGGAUGGGAGGCUCUGUGCUUACAUGAGCCCAUGGGACCUGCACCCCAAGGCUGCCCCACAGCUGCCCAGCAGCCCAUCCAGGGCUCCAUGGCAAACCCUGGCAAUUCCCAAGCUCUGCCUGCACCAUACACUGCCCCAUCACCUGAGCUGGGGAGUCCCAUGCCAGGGCAGGCACAGGACGCGCUGGUGCUGAGCUGGGGCUGGUCCCAGUGUUGAGAUGGGAUGGAGCUGAGCCAAGAUGGUGCUGAUCUAGAGCUGAUCCCAGUGCCGAUCCAGAGUUGGUCCCAGUGCUGGCCGUCAGCCCCACAGCGAGGAGGGAGGUUUGGAUUUUGAGACUGGUCUUGCCUCCAUCUCCAGCUCUUCAUCUGUGCUUUUACAGCCAGCAGGGCUAAUUGUCAAGAAAACAGGCAUUUGAGGGGAAAAAAUCCUUUAAGCCACAGCAAACUACAAACAUGGGAAUAAUUAAAAGAUACACAAGGGCAGAAAGUUAGCACAACAGUAGGUGGUUUAAGUAUGUGCAGAGGGAUCUCUCGCUGUACUCCCAGGCAGCCACUCCCCGAGGCCUCCGAAACGGGGAAGGAAACGUCUGUUUGGCCACCAGCAGCACCGGCAGGAGCUGUAAAGCUGGGUCUGGGGGUGCAGGAACCUCCAUGGUCGCAGGCAGCAGCUCUGUGCAGAUUUGCUGGGGCACAGCUUUAUUUUAAUAAAAAGCUAAAUUGAAAAA